UACGUAGGUGGCAAGCGUUAUCCGGAAUUAUUGGGCGUAAAGCGCGCGUAGGCGGUUUUUUAAGUCUGAUGUGAAAGCCCACGGCUCAACCGUGGAGGGUCAUUGGAAACUGGAAAACUUGGGUGCAGAAGAGGAAAGUGGAAUUCCAUGUGUAGCGGUGAAAUGCGCAGAUAUCAGGAGGAACACCGGUGGCGAAGGCGGGUCUCUGGGCAGUAACUGACGCUGAUGUGCGAAAGCGUGGGGAUCAAACAGG
rnacentral:rRNA from 1 species